rnacentral:rRNA from 1 species
UGAGGAAUAUUGCGCAAUGGGCGAAAGCCUGACGCAGCGACGCCGCGUGGACGAUGAAGGUCUUCGGAUCGUAAAGUCCUUUUCUGCGUGACGAGGAAGGACGGUAGCGCAGGAAUAAGUGUCGGCUAACUACGUGCCAGCAGCCGCGGUAACACGUAGGACGCAAGCGUUAUCCGGAAUUACUGGGCGUAAAGGGCGUGUAGGCGGCACGGUAAGUCAACCGUGAAAGCUCCCGGCUAAACUGGGAGAGGUCGGAUGAGACUGCCGAGCUAGAGGGUCGUAGAGGGGUGUGGAAUUCCGGGUGUAGUGGUGAAAUGCGUAGAGAUCCGGAGGAACACCAGAGGCGAAGGCGGCACCCUGGACGACACCAGACGCUGAGACGCGACAGCACGGGGAGCGAACGGGAUUAGAAACCCCGGUAG